rnacentral:rRNA from 1 species
CAGGGAGCUUGCUCCUGGGUGGCGAGUGGCGGACGGGUGAGGAAUACAUCGGAAUCUGCCCUGUCGUGGGGGAUAACGUAGGGAAACUUACGCUAAUACCGCAUACGACCUUCGGGUGAAAGAGGGGGAUCGCAAGACCUCUCGCGAUUGGAUGAGCCGAUGUCGGAUUAGCUAGUUGGCGGGGUAAAGGCCCACCAAGGCGACGAUCCGUAGCUGGUCUGAGAGGAUGAUCAGCCACACUGGAACUGAGACACGGUCCAGGCUCCUACGGGAGGCAGCAGUGGGGAAUAUUGGACAAUGGGCGCAAGCCUGAUCCAGCCAUGCCGCGUGAGUGAAGAAGGCCUUCGGGUUGUAAAGCUCUUUUGUCCGGAAAGAAAAGUUCCCGGUUAAUACCCGGGGAUCAUGACGGUACCGGAAGAAUAAGCACCGGCUAACUUCGUGCCAGCAGCCGCGGUAAUACGAAGGGUGCAAGCGUUACUCGGAAUUACUGGGCGUAAAGCGUGCGUAGGUGGUUCGUUAAGUCUGAUGUGAAAGCCCUGGGCUCAACCUGGGAAUGGCAUUGGAUACUGGC